AACGCGAAGAACCUUACCAAGGCUUGACAUACACCGGAAACGGCCAGAGAUGGUCGCCCCCUUGUGGUCGGUGUACAGGUGGUGCAUGGCUGUCGUCAGCUCGUGUCGUGAGAUGUUGGGUUAAGUCCCGCAACGAGCGCAACCCUUGUCCCGUGUUGCCAGCAACUCUUCGGAGGUUGGGGACUCACGGGAGACCGCCGGGGUCAACUCGGAGGAAGGUGGGGACGACGUCAAGUCAUCAUGCCCCUUAUGUCUUGGGCUGCACACGUGCUACAAUGGCCGGUACAAUGAGCUGCGAUACCGUGAGGUGGAGCGAAUCUCAAAAAGCCGGUCUCAGUUCGGAUUGGGGUCUGCAACUCGACCCCAUGAAGUCGGAGUUGCUAGUAAUCGCAGAUCAGCAGUGCUGCGGUGAAUACGUUCCCGGGCCUUGUACACACCG
rnacentral:rRNA from 1 species